rnacentral:rRNA from 1 species
UACGUAGGGUGCGAGCGUUAAUCGGAAUUACUGGGCGUAAAGCGUGCGCAGGCGGUAAGUUAAGUCUGAUGUGAAAGCCCCGGGCUCAACCUGGGAAUGGCAUUGGAAACUGGCUUGCUGGAGUGUGGCAGAGGGGGGUGGAAUUCCGCGUGUAGCAGUGAAAUGCGUAGAGAUGCGGAGGAACACCGAUGGCGAAGGCAGCCCCCUGGGCCGACACUGACGCUCAGGCACGAAAGCGUGGGGAGCAAACAGG